ACGUAGAAGGCGAACGUUAUCCGGAUUUACUGGGCGUAAAGAGGGUGUAGACUGUUCUUUAAGUCAGUUGUGAAAUCUCUCAACUCAAUUGGGAGACUGCAAUUGAUACUGGAGAGCUUGAGGGCAUCAGAAGAAAGCGGAAUUCACGGUGUAGCGGUGAAAUGCGUAGAUAUCGUGAGGAACACCAGUGGCGAAGGCGGCUUUCUAGGAUGCUCCUGACGUUGAGGCCCGAAAGUGUGGGGAGCGAAACGGAUUAGAUACCCGUGUAGUCCACACCCUAAACGUUGAAUACUAGGUAUAGGGGGUAUCGACCCUCUCUGUGCCGAAGCUAACGCUUUAAGUAUUCCGCCUGGGGACUACGGCCACAAGGCUA
rnacentral:rRNA from 1 species